rnacentral:rRNA from 1 species
AUUUAACGCUAGCGGCAGGCCUAACACAUGCAAGUCGAACGAGUGGCGGACGGGUGAGUAAUGUCUGGGAACCUGCCUGAUGGAGGGGGAUAACUACUGGAAACGGUCGCUAAUACCGCAUACCAUCAGAUGUUCCCAGAUGGGAUUGGCUUGUUGGUGGGGUAACGGCUCACCAAGGCGACGAUCCCUAGCUGGUCUGAGAGGAUGACCAGCGACACUGGAACUGAGACACGGUCCAGAUUCCUACGGGAGGCAGCAGAGGGGAAUAUUGCACAAUGGGCGCAAGCCUGAUGCAGCCAUGCCGCGUGUAUGAAGAAGGCCUUCGGGUUGUAAAGUACGUUCAGCGGGGAGGCGUUACCCGCAGAAGAAGCACCGGCUAACUCCGUGCCAGCCGCCGCGGUAAUUC